rnacentral:tRNA from 1 species
GCGGAAGUAGCUCAGUUGGUUAGAGCAUCAUCCUUCCAAGUUGAAUGUCGCGGGUUCGAAUCCCGUCUUCCGCU